rnacentral:rRNA from 1 species
CCUACGGGAGGCAGCAGUGAGGAAUAUUGGUCAAUGGACGAGAGUCUGAACCAGCCAAGUAGCGUGAAGGAUGACUGCCCUAUGGGUUGUAAACUUCUUUUAUAUGGGAAUAAAAUGUUCCACGUGUGGGUUUUUGUAUGUACCAUAUGAAUAAGGAUCGGCUAACUCCGUGCCAGCAGCCGCGGUAAUACGGAGGAUGCGAGCGUUAUCCGGAUUUAUUGGGUUUAAAGGGUGCGUAGGUGGUUAGUUAAGUCAGUUGUGAAAGUUUGCGGCUCAACCGUAAAAUUGCAGUUGAAACUGGCAGUCUUGAGUACAGUAGAGGUAGGCGGAAUUCGUGGUGUAGCGGUGAAAUGCUUAGAUAUCACGAAGAACUCCGAUUGCGAAGGCAGCUCACUGAACUGCAACUGACACUGAGGCUCGAAAGUGUGGGUAUCAAACAGGAUUAGAUACCCUUGUAGUC